CUGAUAAUGUCCAGGCACUAAAGACCAAAACAAAUAUUUAAAGAAAAAACUUAAUUUGCAGAGCAUACCAACAAAACAAGCUAAAGAAUGAUGUAUACUCAAUUCUGAAACCUUCUUUUCUCAUUCUAUUAUUCUUUAGAAUUUGCCAAGACAUCUUAGUUGGCAAAGCAUCCAAGAAACUUCCUUGGCAUAUAUCCAAGUGAACGGUAUCUUGCUGCAAUUUCCUCUACCUUGCGAUAUUGUUCUUCUCGUUUUGCUUCAACCAUUGCUCUCUUCUCUUCCCUUUCCUUGUGGAUUUCCGCUAUUUUGUUCUUCUUUUUCUCUGCAUAUUUGGCCUUCUUCUUUUCAACUUUUUCCUCAUACUUCUUUAUUUGUGUCUCCACGUAUGCUUUCUUGGUGGUCUCCCAUGAUGCAACAGCCAAAAUAUUUUUGUGAGUUCUGUUUGACAAUACAGUAUGCUUAAGUUUCUGUAGUUUAAGAACUGAAGCUUAUCAUAGACAAGAAUUUAAAACAUUGUGAAACCAACUUAUAAGAAAGCGUACAAAAUCCUUAUUAUUCACUGAUAACUUAGUCAAGUACUGCAAAAUCCUUCUCCAGAAUAGAAAAACUUUUUGUCAAAUUGAGGUUGGAGGCUUAGAGAGUAUAAAAUCAAAGAACUUAAUACAUAAACUUGACGAGUAGAGCUCAAUUUUCUCCAAUUUGGAAAAUGCAAAUUACCUAUCACAGAAACGGAAAAUUCUUAUAUAGAUCCGGUUUAUCAUGAUCCUAAGACACAAACAUGUAGGAUCUAUAUAUUUAAUAGGUAGGUCCUACCAUAUAUCUUGUAUCUUUGGUCCAUGAAAACCCGGUUUAGAUAAAAAAAAUCCAACAUAAACUGCAGUACUAAUACUCGAGUAUCAAACAUAUAUGGCAUAUUAACAUUGCAACUAUAUUGAAUUGUCUUAGAGUGAAAAAUAUAAGGUUUAGCCAUAAAUCAUCUAGAUCUUCAUAAGCAUAUUUGUCAGGAAAAACUUAUGUAGACCCCAUUCAUUAUAGACCCAAGACACAGAUAUAUGGAUCCUACAAUAUAUCAUGGACUAGGUAUAGGCAAGAAUUUCUAUUGUGAAUACAUGUACUAAUAAUAAACUUUUAGAUCUUACUUGUUCUCCACUUUAGCCUUCUCGUUUUCUUCCCAUGCCUUGAUUAAAGCAUAUCUUUUCUCUGAUUCAACCUUUGCUAGCUCAGCAUCUCUGUCAGUUGAAGUCAUCUCAGUCUUAGGAUCUGCAACCUCUGCCCACCAGGUAAGGAGCUUAUUAUGAAAUUCUUAAAAAAAGCAUCAAUGACGUGAAUAAAUGCAGUCUGUGAAUUUGGAAUUUUGGAGUUGCAAAGACUCCUUAAUUAGCUUCUGCUUCAAUUUCUACUUACAUUCUUAGUUGUCAAAACUUUUCUUAUUGAAUAAUGAAUUAAGGUGAACGUAAUAUAGAAAUAAAGCCAUUCUAAAUUAUGGAAAAUUUUUUAUUUUUUACCUGAUCAAAGUUUGGAACCUCGAACUUUCCAUUAAUUAGGACAAUAGUUCCAAGAAUUCAGACAACCUCUCCUCCACUAGGACUAAAAGUUGAAUAUUUCACUCAAUUUAAGUCAUUCUCAUUCUCUUUAAAACGGAAUUCUACAUGAAAAUUUUAUAAAAAAUUUUCAUUUUGCUUUCUCUAAGAAUUUCCCAGGAACCAAACAGCAGAGAGAGAGAGAGCACAUACCAUUUGAAACUGGGGCAGCAGUUUCUUUCAGCUCUCGAGCAGGUAUCGUCUGAUCUCGAGGUGGUGCAGGCACAGAGGAGGAGGCGUCAGAUUCAGCUUCCUUGGGAUCCCCUUCUCCCAUAAUAUACUCUUUGAACUUAGCCACGGCGACCCAGAAAUAUUAUAACAAGAACAACAAACGGAGCUAGAUGCCAAUUGAAAAAACAGGGAAACAGAAGAG
rnacentral:misc_RNA from 1 species